UCUCCUCGACAUCGAUAAAACGGCGCGACCCACUUUUCAGGAUUCUACUCUUUUUCUUUUUUUAUUUUACUUUUCUUCUUAUUCUUCGCUAAGGACGAUCGAGUUAUACGCGCAAGGAAUUAAAUGGUAGAUAUCCGUGGGCUCAGCAGUGAAAACCGUGUUCCCCCAGCUGUAAUGUACUUAUGUUGAAAAGGCUCUGGGAUCAUGGAAAACACUGCGCGAGUACUGACCGUUCUUCAAGUAUCAUCAUCAUUCUCUUUUUUCCUUGUCGCGUACAACCGGACGCAACCGCGAGCGUAUGUAAAUUACUUUUCCGCUCGUUUGGGGCGUAAAUUACUGUGCGCAUCCAAUUCUGUCCACCGGAAAAUUUCAUUCUCACAAUAAAACGUCGCGGUUCAUCUACUUAGAAACGGGAGGAAAUCAUUUUUUUUCUUUCUACACGUAGACUUCUUAUUCUCAACUGGAUUACUUUCGUCAUUUUAAUCAAAGUAUACUCGUUACUUGAUCUUAUCAUUUCAGUAAGUGUUCUUUAUAUUUUUUUUUUUUCUAGUAAUACACGAAAACGUGCACCUGCUACGCCAAACGCACAGGGUCCGCUUACGUAGUAGCCGAGAGUAGAGGCUUCGGUAGUCGUGUUCGUUGUUGCAAAGCCACUUUGUAAUUGCUGUUGGAGCGCCGUUCACCUCGAGCCUUCUAUACUUUCUAAAACCGCUUACUUUCGUAACUUGGCAAAUACCGUCAGCCUCGUACCCCGGUGUACCGGAUCGUUGCCGUGAUUACGGGGAUAGAUUUUUUUUUUUUCUCCUAAUAAAGCAACCCGCUGUCGUUUUCCAUGUAACAAGUGCAUAGAAACAUUGCUUCACAGAUGGCAAUCGUUAAACUAUAUUUUUUUAUUUUAUGCCUUAACCAUCAAGUGGUGGACUAUACCCUUAAUAAUUAACAUUUUAAUAUGCCUGACUACAGAUGUCCGUUUUCACUGUGACGGUUAACGUACUCGUAAUCCUUACUAAAGUGUGCCGUACCACGCACGUCCAUUUUUACGGCAGCAGCUAACGUGUUAGAGGAGAUAAGCAUCGGUGCACUGCGUGUACGAAAUAUUAGCAAAUUAAUGAAAGCUGUUUACUUUUUUCUUUUGUUUCAUUGUGUAACAUUUCAGUCACAAAAUUGAACGCAACAACAAACUCUUUUCAUUUCAUGGUACACGUAAUAAAGAAACACCAUUAAAACUUGUAAUUAGAAAACAGGAAAAAGGACUGAACACUGUUUAAAAAAGAAAAAUCAUAGAAUUGAAAAGUUUGGAAAGUUACCACUCCUUGGGAAGAAUGGAAGAGGUAGGAGAUGAUGAUGGAAUGAGAUACACUGUGUGCGCACGUACAUGCAAGGAGGAAAGGGAAGUGGGACUGGCUUGCCUUGUGCCACUUUGUACGUACGCACCGGUAUCAAGAUUGUAGGCUCGAUACUUUGUAGCGGUCUUGUAAUAUUCUCAGAUUUCUUUUUUUCUUUCAAUUCUAAUGAUUUUUCGCUUCGCCGGCUACUAUCAUCACAUGAUUGUACCAUUUAAAUUACACCUGCUCCAAAGUUCCAAUUGUAUCCAUUGCAAAAAACGACUUGCAACAGAGCUUUCUAUUUCACAGAAUGAAACAACUGACUCGAUCGAUGCACCUUGUACCAUUUUUAAUCGAAUAUUUUUCACAUCGUUUUUGUUUAAGACGUAACAACGAAGUAAGACGAUUUAAUUAGCUAAUUGGCAAAGGUCACACAAUUGAGUAAUGAAGGCUAGACAAUAUAAUAAUUGCAGGUUUCGGUUAAUAUUCGUGAAAAAGCUGGCAACCGCUGGUCAGCAAGCGCCAUUUUAUAGAAGGCCACCGCAUUGCGGCCAUCUUUCGUAUAGUAACCGAAGCGUUUCCAUUUCCAUUUGGGGUUGCUCGAAUGGCUCGGAUUCCAUUCACGCACUGUCUAAUUUUACUCGUUGGCCUCGAAUCCACUCCCUAUGGCUCAUCACGUGUUGGUAUAUACCUGAGUCUCUAAGGAAAGGCGUUUCCGAUCGAUUUUGCUGGAAUAGUUCACUUCCCAAUCUCUCACCUUUGUUUCUUUUUUAGUAUAUGCUACUAUUCUUGUGCCACUUGAAUAUUUUAUUAUUUGCAAUUUUGCAACUCGCUUUCAGCUCGAACAACCGUCGUGUCUUGCUAAUCUGAUUAGUAUCUUUGAAAAGAGGUUAAACCCUUUUACAAGUAUCGGGUAAUCUGAAAUGCCGAUACUCGCGAUUUGACCCGUUUUCCUUGGGUUUCGAUGUAAUCCGUUGGAUACGACUUCCGAUGCCGUCUCAUUACCAGCGCAUUUCAAUGUCAUUGGAAUGUCUUCGUAAACCUUGCCAAACGAUCAAAAUUUAGAUUUUCGUGUCUUGAAAAUCCAUCGACGUCUGCGUCAAUGUCGUGGAUGACAUCAUUGCGAAACGGUUGAAUAGUGGGAGAGAAGGGGUAUCCAUAAAGAUCUUGGAUCAUUGCGAGGGACGUAGAAGAGCAAAGAGGGGAAGGGUCGAGGGUAAAGCGGAAGAGACAUAGGUAGCGAUAUGCUGAAGAUGCUUUUUGAAUUUUUUCCACAAGAAAUCAUAUCGAAAUUUAAUAUUUAAACUUGUUAAAUAAUCUUUUGCAUAAUUUAAUGUUGACACUACUCGUAAACUCAUAAAACGACAAUUUUUUAUAUGUAAUUUAUAUUACAAAAGUUCAAGUCAAGGCAGCGCGAGUGGGACGAUUGGUAAAGCGUUGAGUAACUUGGUCGUUCAGAAAGUAGUGAACAUUUUGAAAUGCUAGUCUUCCAAUUACUGGAAGAAGUUACAUAACCCUUUCCUCGAAUAAAGAGCGAUGUAGUAAUCAUAAAACCGUUAUAAAAGAUGUAGAUAACAUUGCAACGUAUUUUUGUAAAGAGUGUAACUCGGUUCGGCUCGAUUCGGUUCAAUCUUUAGGAAGUAGUUUGAAAAUAACGUAACGUAACGUAGACGGAACCAAAUGGUUAUCGCCAUAGUUCGCGGAGCUAAAGAGCAAAGCGAAAAAGAGAUGGAGAACGGAAGAAAGGCGAAACAGAGAACGGCCGAGGUCUAGGCGCAGAAAAAUCGCGCAGCAGAGGUGGGGAGAACGAAACGGUGAUGCGAUAUAAGCACGAGAAAUUCAGUGGUGGGGCAGACCAGGCAACCACCAGGCCUUGAAGCAACCAAACAGAAUAAAAAGCCUCCACUCCUCGACUAUGCUAUUGGCUACUGCCACUUUGUGAAGUUUUACGAAUUUUCAAGUUCUGCUGAAGGACAAUCUUGCUUUUCCCGUCAAUUUGGGUAUAUUUAUAAGAAAGAAUAAUUUUAAAUGCAUGGGGAUACUGAUCCCCCCUGAAGAGGUCAAAAUUGACAUUACAUAAUGGCCGAUCACACGUCAAGUCGAAAGAAGCAUCCUUUCUAAAAGUGUUGAAAAUAGAAAACAUCAUUUUACAAUUGAACAAUUCAUGGAAAAAUAUCGUCACAGUCUCGUAACAUCAAUCAUUUAUCAGACGAUGGAAUUACAAGGAUUUUGUUACAAUGUUUCUGUUAGAGAAAGUGAAACGAGAGACAAGAGAUUGAAGAGAACACGAUUAUCCCGUCGGAAAUCCGAUAUCUCGUUGUGUAACCACAGCAAUAUCAACUAUUAACGCCCUUGCAGUUUAUAUCCUGUAGCUUCGUGGAUUAAUUGGAGCUUAUUUGUCCGCUACAAUGUUGGUUAGUUACGUAUCUUUUCUCUAUCGCGUGUAACAAAAAUAAACUCGUCCACGAUGUUACGAGUUCCGGUGUGGGGCUAGGGGGUUCUAGGCUAGGUACUCCUACAGUUUCCCUAGAGUCUUCAUAGGUCCUUCCAAGCCCGAGGACAAGCAGUAAGAGGCUCCUCCCCUUACCUCUAGACCAAGCCAAAGAAAACCUACCUUGCACCAGAAUAUACAACGUAACAGGGUUAAAAUAGACGUAUACAUAGGUCUAGGUUAGACCUAAGCUGUAAAAUUAAACAAAAAGAAUUCAUUUCACCGUAAACAUUGAAAAAUAUUCCAGUCCAUCAAGUGACCCUUAACUAAAAUAAACGGUCGAUGUAUGAAGACGGUUAUGGCAACCCUACAUCACCUGUUAAAGUUGAUCGAUCAAACACUUGGUGGCCUCGCGUUGCGAAGAAUGCUACGCAAAAGAAUUCUAAGAAACCAGAAAGUCGGCCAAGAAGAAGAAGAAAGAAAUGAAACGAAAGUGAAGACUUCCGGAGGAUAGAAGAAACGAAGAAAAGACAAACUGUUGCGAGAAGCGUGGGAGGAGAGGGCGUCUCCUUUCACACAGUAGAAGCACAGAGAGGGAUUUUACGACGCGUAGCCGUAGAUGCCAUCCUUGUUUCACGAAAACCCACCCCAACUUUCACCCUCGUAGCACGCCCGGACGAUUCGAUGUUCAAAGAUGGCCGCCUAGCUGGCUAGGAGGUCACCGGGUGCUCGCUAGGCCACGCCCUAUACACUCGCCAAACUCGAGCGAGCUUUCCAUCGGCCGAUUUAGCUUCCACAGCCAGUACCAAGGGCGCCUCAAGGACGAACGCUGGUAUACACCUUCAAGAAGAAUCGGGCUGAUCCCUCCACGCGUUUCGCUUCUUCCCGGAAAUUAAACAACGAUGCCACACUAGUCACCCUACCUUCUUUCAAUCUCCCUUUAUCAUCUUCCUCUGAUAUUAUUAAUUAUUUUCCAUUUGCGUGUUUUUCUACCAACGAGGUAAGAAAUAUGGAGAACGUCAUUGACGGAAGUACAACGACCAAGGGAUGAGUAACAUAGCACGUGAUCGGUAGUUGUGGAAUUCAAAGACACGCGACAAAUAAUCGAGGAGAAUACAAAGGAGCAAACUGAUUCACUGCAACUAUCUUUCAACGAGUAAAUCUCUUUGUGUCAGGAAGUUAAUACGUUCACUUCGCAUGACAUAUAUGUGCAUUAUCAAAGAACGGGAAUUUUUCUUAAAACAUAUAAUUCAAAGAUAUAAAUGUAUAAUCAAGAAAUAUGUAUAUUAAAAUAGGAAUUGAGGCCAGCUAA